rnacentral:lncRNA from 1 species
AUUUGAUUCAUAUUGAUUAUAGUAAAUCUAUAUGAUGGUUUUAAAUAUGAUAUUGGACUCAAGUGUUAAUCAAGAUUUUUGUACACCAGUAAAAGUAUGAAUGAGAAUCGAAAGUUAAUCUUUGACUUCAAUUGAAAUUUGAAAUUUUAGAUCUUUUCUAUUGACAAGGUAAAGAAAUAAUUUGAUCAAACUUUUUUUUUGGUGAACCUAAGAAAUUUUGAUUGUUAGAUCAGAGUGCGCAGCGGAAGCAUGGUAAUUUGGAUUACUUUGAGUAAGUCAGGAAUGUUGAUUCUCUGAGUCAAAGAAUUAUAAUAAAUAAUAUAGUUUGAUAUAAAAAAAAAUUCAUGGAUAUUAGAAAGAAUAAUAUUUUAAAAUUUUAAAUUAUUUUAGAUAUCCUAAUGUGAUUUUUAAAAGUAGAGCUUCCACCUACUAUGCUACAAAAAUAAUUAGCAUCCUAAUUCUAGGAUGAGUGGACCUUUGAUUUUUGAUUUUAGAUUUAGAAUAUUUAGAGAUAAAUUUUUUUCUAUCCUAGAAUUAAAUUUUAUAAUUCUCUAUUUAUUAG